rnacentral:rRNA from 1 species
GGCCCUACGGGGCGCAGCAGUCGCGAAAACUUUGCAAUACACGAAAGUGUGACAGGGCUAUCCCGAGUGCCAUCCGCUGAGGAAGGCUUUUACCCAGUCUAGAAAGCUGGGGGAAUAAGGAGAGGGCAAGUCUGGUGUCAGCCGCCGCGGUAAUACCAGCUCUCCGAGUGGUGUGGAUGUUUAUUGGGCCUAAAGCAUCCGUAGCUGGCUAAGUUAGUCCCCUGUUAAAUCCGACGAAUUAAUCGUUGGAUCGCGGGGGAUACUGCUUGGCUAGGGGACGAGAGAGGCAGACGGUAUUUCCGGGGUAGGGGUGAAAUCCUAUAAUCCCGGGAAGACCACCAGUGGCGAAGGCUGUCUGCUAGAACGCGCCCGACGGUGAGGGAUGAAAGCUGGGGGAGCGAACCGGAUUAGAUACCCGGGUAGUCCCAGCUGUAAACGAUGCAGGCUAGGUGUUUGGACGGCCACGUGCCGUUCUAGUGCCGCAGGGAAGCUGUUAAGCCUGCCGCCUGGGGAGUACGAUCGCAAGAUUGAAACUUAAAGGAAUUGGCGGGGGAGCACCACAAGGGGUGAAGCUUGCGGUUUAAUUGGAGUCAACGCCGGAAAUCUCAC